UUAAAAAGACCAAUACAAAGUCAUAUCUUUUGAUACAAUCCAUGCUGUAGACUAUUGGUCACCACAGACACAAUCAAAUUUUAAUCAAAUUUAAUUUUGAUUGACUCAAUAAAACUUGAAAAAGUUGGGGAAAGCAACUGUCUUGGUUGCAUGUUCUGCUUUUUCAAUAUCCCUCUAUAUAUUUGGGGUGGGGAGAAUACAUGCAAUAUAGGAUUUUGUUUCUGAAAACUGAUUCUGCUCCUGCUGCUUAAUUCCCAUCCAAACGCAUAAAGCUCUUUUAGUGACCUCAUAAUUACCUCCAAAGUAACCAUUUCUGAUGGCUCAAACAGGAGGAUUAGAAUCUAAAGGCAGGAUUAAGCGGCAGGCCUUUUCCUCUGUGACCACUGGGAUUCAGAUGCCAGAACCUGGAACUAGUGCCUUUACUUUAUCUGAUCUAUUUUAAGAUUUAUUCCACUUGCUAAGCCUGCUGGGAUUUCAGAGUGCCAGAGUUUCAGCCUGUAUUAACAAUGUAAAUGAGUGAUCCUGCUGAAGAAAAAUUAUAGUGUUUCCCUUCUGUGACUUGCACAGCUGAACCUGAAAAAAGGUCUGAACAUCAUGUAUUUGGUCAUCAAACAUUGUAGUCUCUUUCUUUCAGCUCACUGUGCAAUUGCCUGCCAAUGAGAAAUGAAAGGUUUUUCUUCUCUAUUUCAAGAUUGAAUGAAAUACCUAUGGCUAAUUAGCAGAUUCUAAGGGGCAAAAUGCUGUAUACAAUAAGGGGAACACAUACAGUGGUGCCUCGCAAGACUAUUUUAAUUCGUUCUGCGAAAAUCGUCAUCUUGUGAAAAAAUCGUCUUGCGAGUUUCCCUGUGCAUUGGUCUCAAAAAAAAAAACGGUCUUGCGAAGCAUCGGUCUAAAAAAAAAAAGUCUUGUGAAGCACAGUCAUAGAAAAAAAAAGUCUUGCGAGGCACCAUAGUGGCAGGUUUUUCAUCCCACGAGGCAAUCAUCUAGCGAGGCACGACUGUAUUACCUGAAAUUA
rnacentral:lncRNA from 1 species